rnacentral:rRNA from 1 species
AUUGAACGCUGGCGGCAUGCUUUACACAUGCAAGUCGAACGGUAACAGGUUAAGCUGACGAGUGGCGAACGGGUGAGUAAUGCAUCGGAACGUGCCCGAUCGUGGGGGAUAACACUUCGAAAGAAGUGCUAAUACCGCAUACGAUCUGAGGAUGAAAGCGGGGGACCGUAAGGCCUCGUGCGAUCGGAGCGGCCGAUGUCAGAUUAGGUAGUUGGUGGGGUAAAGGCUCACCAAGCCGACGAUCUGUAGCUGGUCUGAGAGGACGACCAGCCACACUGGGACUGAGACACGGCCCAGACUCCUACGGGAGGCAGCAGUGGGGAAUUUUGGACAAUGGGCGCAAGCCUGAUCCAGCAAUGCCGCGUGCAGGAAGAAGGCCUUCGGGUUGUAAACUGCUUUUGUACGGAACGAAAAGCUUCGGGCUAAUACCCUGGAGUCAUGACGGUACCGUAAGAAUAAGCACCGGCUAACUACGUGCCAGCCGCCGCAGUAA